AUAUUGGCCAGAGACCGAUAGCGCACAAGUAGAGUGAUCGAAAGAUGAAAAGCACUUUGGAAAGAGAGUUAAACAGUACGUGAAAUUGUUGAAAGGGAAGCGCUUGCAAUCAGACUUGCACUUGGUGUUCAUCAGGGUCUCGUACCCUGUGUACUUCAUCAAGUUCAGGCCAGCAUCAGUUUGAGUGGUUAGAUAAAGGCUUAGAGAAUGUGGCCCUCUUCGGGGGGUGUUAUAGCUCUAGGUGCAAUGUGGCCUACUUGGGCUGAGGACCGCGCUUCGGCUAGGAUGCUGGCGUAAUGGUUGUAAGCGACCCGUCUUGAAACACGGACC
rnacentral:rRNA from 1 species